UCUCCCUCGUCAGCUCUCCCUCCUCUCUUUCCGUCCCCCUUCUCUUCCCCAUGCCGCCACCGCCGCCGCCACCACUUUCUCCCUCCCUCCUGGCCGCCUCGUCUCCUCCACCUUCGCCUCCACCCCCUCCUCCUCCCUUGCCUCCGCACCCGGCUAGCACGGCUCGACCACGCGUUGUGGACGAGGAGGCCACAGCUCGGGAUGCAGGCAAGAGGAACCAGGCGGUUCUCCUUCCAUGGCAGCGCCCCGACUCAAGCCGAAGCCGAGGAGCGCGGCCUUGAUCCAGGCUCGACAAGAGGAGUAGAGCAGCCACGCACACCAGCCCCCGGGCCCGUCUUCCUCUGCGCCUCCUCUCACGUACCCUCCGCGGCCGCCUCCUCGUCCUCUGGCUGCUGCCGCACGGUGGAGACGGCGUAGACGGGCUAGGCAGGCCACGAUGGCUGGUCGAGCACCCACCCCGGCGACCUCCUGCAGAGGAGGAGAGGUCGAGUACAGAUUCAGUUUAUGGAGGAGAUGCUAGCACAGGGUCAAUCAGUCUCUUGUUCGUCCUUCGGAUGGUUCACUGCUCGGAGAGGUUCUUUGCUCAUUCUCUGCUCGUCUAUGUCGUCGGCGAGAAGGUUAUUUCGUGUGCUUGGAGUUUGUGGGUGCUUUACCUCCUUUUGAUCAUCUCGUCGUUUGCUUCUUUGCCUGCCCAGGUUUGUGCAAGUCCUUUGGAGUUUCCUUUUAAACACCGUGUCUUGGCUGCUAUCCUUACCAGUAUGGUCUUUGCAUGAGAAGCACAGAUGGGCAUGCCGACAUGGACCAUAUCAGGUCAUUGUCCUAUUCUUUCCACAUUUUUUAUGUCAUAUUUCAAAUUUUCAAUUCAUUUGUUUUCCGUAUUGCUCAUGUUCAUAGCAUUUCUGUUGGGCACUUAUCCGUUGAUAAUUUAUCAUUCCUCUAUUAAUUAAUGAUCUCAUCGCAUCGCAGUAGCUCACUGAGCUCUAUGUUGUUUUGUCCUGUUUUCUCCAAGGUUCCUUGGGUAAAGCUUGCUGAUUGUCAAUGUGAUUAGAGGGACAGUGGUUGAAUGAUGCAUUUCCUAUAGGUUUGUCUUCUUAGCCGGAUUUAUUUUUUCCAAGUUGUUCCAUUCAUAUGUGUUAGCCCGGUAUGUUAUCAACAUAUGAUUCAUAUAAAAUUUCAUGGAUUGCAGAGUUAUACUUAGUUAAUUUCAUAAAUAUACUAAAAUUGAAAUUUACUAAUUGACAAGUAGAUUCUUGUUGAAAAUAGACAGCUGAACGUAGAUACAAUGCCCUCGCUAUGUUGCAAUUCCUAUAAUCCACGGCUACAAAUUUCAUGAAUGUACAUGAUGUGCGGUUUCAGUACUACUAAGUGUGAGGAGGAGGAGGUUAGCCUUGAUGGCCAGGUGGUACCUCAGAAGGACACCUUUCGGUAUUUGGGGUCAAUGCUGCAUGAGGAUGGGGGUAUUGAUGCACCAAGCUUCUGGCAUUCUCUGUGACAAGAGAGUGCCACAAAAGCUAAAAGGCAAGUUCUACAGGAUGGCGGUUCGAGCCGCAAUGUUGUAUGUCGCUGAGUGUUCGCCGACUAAAAGGCGACAUGUUCAACAGUUAGGUGUGGCGGAGAUGCGUAUGUUGAGAUGGAUGGUGGCCACACGAGGAAGGAUCGAGUCCGGAAUGAUGAUAUACGAGAUAGAGUUGGGGUAGCACCAAUUGAAGAGAAGCUUGUCCAACAUCGUCUGAGAUGGUUUGGGCAUAUUCAGCGCAGGCCUCCGGAAGCUCCAGUGCAUAUCGGACGGCUAAAGCAUGUGGAGAAUGUCAAGAGAGGGCGGGGUAGACCGAAUUUGACAUGGGAGGAGUCCGUUAAGAGAGACAUGAAAGAUUGGAGUAUCACCAAAGAGCUAGCUAUGGACAGGGGUGCGUCGAAGCUUGCUAUCCAUGUGCCAGAGCCAUGAGUUGGUUGCGAGAUCUUAUGGGUUUCACCUCUAGCCUACCCCAACUUGUUUGGGACUUGUCUAUCCAGUGGAGUUGUUGUUGUUGUUGUUGUUGUUGUUGUUGUUGUUGUUGUUGUUGUUGUUGUUGUUGUUGUUGUUGUGUAGGUCUAUCCAGUGGAGAUGGCGUCGCCUGCCGGAGAAGCGAGGGGGCUAUCCCUCAAAGGGGCGGUGUGAUGGCGGUGGUAGAUACCCCAGGUUGUGCCCAUCGACGCAGCAGGCAGUGUUGUGGAUGAACUUCUACAAGUUUCUCAACGGCAGGCCGAACCACCGCUCGAAAGCCGCCAUCCUCUUCCACUCCAUCAACAGGACAGUGUAUCCCCGCAUUCUCGAUCCGGUGCCACCACAUAUCGUGAUUCUGGAUCGGGCACAUGUUGCCGCCAUAAGAGAGCUUCGCUAGUGUGGUCUUCAUGCUUGGUCUGGAGAAGCAGGGGAGGAUGAGCAGGACGGGCAUGGGGAAGGAGCAGCCAGGCCGGAGCUCCGGCGUCGCUCGCGUCAUGGUCGAAUGGAGCCGGCCAUCACUAUGGGCUGCUGCUCGCCGGUCGUCAUUCCCCAAUCAGAGUUGCUCAUCUUUGGCUUCAUCAUCUUCCUCCCCUGAUCAUGCAUCUAUUUUUGAUCAUAUAAUUAUGCUAUAUCAUAUAUGUUGUUUAGUUGAAACUUGUGCAUGUGCAUGCAUUGGCAUUGAUUUAGACAGAGAUAUUGCAUGAUUUGUACAUAAAAGGAGUACGGAUGAUCUAAGAAUAAAUGUUCGAAUAAAGUUAGUAGUGAGAUUUAGGUAGAGGUUACCUGCACUGUUCUGUUUUAUGUAGAUUCUAAGCUGCAAAAUCAUACAUGGUCCUGUUAGUAGUUUGUUUGAGUUGUGAGUUUACGCAUUUUCCCUUGGAAUGUUUGUAUGUGUGAUCACUUGCUUUUAGGUUCCCAGCGGUAUAUCAUGAGAAGUUUUUUA